rnacentral:rRNA from 1 species
UACGUAGGGUGCAAGCGUUAAUCGGAAUUACUGGGCGUAAAGCGUGCGCAGGCGGUUUUGUAAGUCUGUCGUGAAAUCCCCGGGCUCAACCUGGGAAUUGCGAUGGAGACUGCAAGGCUAGAAUCUGGCAGAGGGGGGUAGAAUUCCACGUGUAGCAGUGAAAUGCGUAGAGAUGUGGAGGAACACCGAUGGCGAAGGCAGCCCCCUGGGUCAAAACUGACGCUCAUGCACGAAAGCGUGGGGAGCAAACAGG